AGAGUUUGAUCAUGGCUCAGAACGAACGCUGGCGGCGUGCCUAACACAUGCAAGUCGAGCGAGGGCGGCUCUUCACGGGGCCGACCCGAGCGGCGAACGGGUGAGUAACACGUGGAUAACCUGCCUUCCAGACAGGGACAACGUUGGCCGUUCUUCGGAACGGUCUUUAGCGAAAGUAACGCUAAUACCUGAUGGCCCUGCACCACCGCAUGGUGGAGCAGGUAAAGGGUGCCGAAAGGUAUCGCUGGAAGAGGGGUCUGCGGCCUAUCAGCUAGUUGGUAGGGUAAUGGCCUACCAAGGCGAAUACGGGUAGCUGACCUGAGAGGGUGGUCAGCCACACUGGGACUGAGACACUGCCCAGAGCCCUACGGGGCGCAGCAGUGGGGAAUCUUCCGCAAUGGGCGAAAGCCUGACGGAGCGACGCCGCGUGGAGGAUGAAGGCCUUCGGGUUGUAAACUCCUGUCAGGAGUUAUGAAUGUCUCCCGCUAACCACGGGAGGUUGACAAAGGCUCCAAAGGAAGGCAUGGCUAGCUCCGUGCCAGCAGCCGCGGUAAGACGGAGAUGCCGAGCGUUGUUCGGAAUCACUGGGCAUAAAGAGCACGUAGGCGGCCUCGUAUGUUGGGUGUGAAAUACUUCGGCUCAACCGGGGAAUUGCGCCCAAAACUGCGAGGCUAGAGUGCGACAGGGGAGAGUGGAACUCUGGGUGGAGCGGUGAAAUGCGUUGAUAUCCAGAGGAACGCCGGUGGCGAAGGCGACUCUCUGGGUCGUUACUGACGCUGAGUGUGCGAAAGCCAGGGGAGCAAACGGGAUUAGAUACCCCGGUAGUCCUGGCCGUAAACGAUGGGCACUUGGUAGGGGAGGUUCCGAGCCUUCCCUGCCGGAGCUAACGCGAUAAGUGCCCCGCCUGGGGAGUACGGUCGCAAGAUUAAAACUUAAAUGAAUUGACGG
rnacentral:rRNA from 1 species